CCCAUUGGAAUCAAAUCAGAGGCACAGUGAACUCCUCAUAGCAUCUUCUUUGGAAUUACUCAGGAACCAGAACUUUUUACACAAAUGUAAGAAAUUCUACCAAGGAGUCCCCUUACCUAACAGCAUCUCACAAGGCUGCAUCAGAUUCCAGAAAAGGCUUCUCUUGAUACAUCAAGGCUUUGUGGCCAUGAAGCCCUUUGAGUGAAAACUGCAGAAGCCCAGAGUAAAAGUGAAGCUGCUCUGGAUGAAGUAGUGAAGCAAGAGUAGGGGCCUGAAGCCUGCUACGACUAUCUUCCUUUACCACCGUGGUGACACCUAAGGGGACUUCCUUACAACACCUUGAACUCUUCCAAACACAGUUUGAAAACCACUGCCCCAGACAGCAAUAUGUUUGACCUGAAUGGCAUUCCAAUCUUUUCUGUACCUCCACUCAGCACAGUU
rnacentral:antisense_RNA from 1 species